AUGUCUAAGUAUAAGUGUGUUUAUAGCGAAACUGCGAAUGGCUCAUUAAAACAGUUAUAGUUUAUUUGAUAAUCGAAUUCUACAUGGAUAACCGUGGUAAUUCUAGAGCUAAUACAUGCUGUUAAGCCCGACUUUUUGGAAGGGCUGUAUUUAUUAGAUACAAACCAAUAUGCCUUCGGGUCUAUUGUGAUGAUUCAAUAUAACUGAUCGAAUCGCAUGGUCUUGUACCGCGAUAAAUCAUUCAAGUUUCUGCCCCAUCAGCUUUCGAUGGUAGUGUAUUGGACUACCAUGGCUUUCACGGGUAACGGGGGAUUAGGGUUCGAUUCCGGAGAGGGAGCCUGAGAAACGGCUACCACAUCUAAGGAAGGCAGCAGGCGCGUAAAUUACCCAAUCCUGACUCAGGGAGGUAGUGACAAGAAAUAACAGACCGGAGCCUCUGGUUCCGGGAUUGCAAUGAGUACAAUUUAGACUCCUUAACAAGUAACAAUUGGAGGGCAAGUCUGGUGCCAGCAGCCGCGGUAAUUCCAGCUCCAAUAGCGUAUAUUAAAGUUGUUGCAGUUAAAAAGCUCGUAGUUGGAUUUGUGGCAGUCGCGUGCGGCCCGGCAUUCGUGCCGGUGCUUGCUAGCGUCGCCAUCCUUGGGUGGAACCUGUGUGGCAUUAGGUUGUCGUGCAGGGGAUGCCCAUCGUUUACUGUGAAAAAAUUAGAGUGUUCAAAGCAGGCUUAUGCCGUUGAAUAUAUUAGCAUGGAAUAAUAAGAUAGGACCUUGGUACUAUUUUGUUAAUUAUUAAUCUUGAACGAGGAAUUCCUAGUAAACGCAGAUCAUCAAUCUGCAUUGAUUACGUCCCUGCCCUUUGUACACACCGCCCGUCGCACCUACCGAUCGAAUGGUCCGGUGAAGCCUCGGGAUUGUGUUUAGUUCCCUUUAUUGGGAGUUGAAUGCGAGAACUUGUCUAAACCUUAUCAUUUAGAGGAAGGUGAA
rnacentral:rRNA from 1 species